UACGGGGGGGGCAGGCGUUGUUCGGAAUUACUGGGCGUAAAGGGCGCGUAGGCGGCCUGCUAAGUCGGACGUGAAAUCCCUCGGCUCAACCGGGGAACUGCGUCCGAUACUGGUGGGCUCGAAUCCGGGAGAGGGAUGUGGAAUUCCAGGUGUAGCGGUGAAAUGCGUAGAUAUCUGGAGGAACACCGGUGGCGAAGGCGGCAUCCUGGACCGGUAGUGACGCUGAUGCGCGAAAGCCAGGGGAGCAAACGGG
rnacentral:rRNA from 1 species